rnacentral:lncRNA from 1 species
GUUUGUUUUAUGUUGCCACACCCGUUCCUUUUCCAUGAAUCCUUUUGUUUCAGUUGGUUCCUGCAGGCAGUUGCUACAAGUUCUCUGCCCUUUUCUUGCAGGUAAGUGCUGUGUAUGUUUUAUUAUUGUUUAUUUAGUCAUGCAUAUCUAGGUAGAUAGGACCCACCGUAAUUGGAGGAAUUUGACGCAGUUGGUGGGCUGCAUACAUCUUGGCCAUUUAUGUAUGUCUAAAUCUCCAAUGUUUAUUACAUAUAUAGUACUUAGUUUUGUCUCCUCUUGUUUUGCCUAUUAUAUCUUGUCUUGUUUUAUUUCAUGUUCCCAGUACAUGUAAAGUCCUGUCCUGCCCUUGUUCUGUUAAUGUUUCCCUUAUGUAUUGUGUACAUGUUCUGGGUUUAGCUUUCUAUCCUUCUCUGGUUCUGGGUUCUAUUAGUUUUGUCUUGUUUUCUUGUUUGGUGUCUAUCCUAGCCUUGCCUUGUUUCUAGUACUGGAUACAUCUCAGUAUACUUCUGCUCUGACAACCGCUUAGAUGCAACAGGGUCUUGGUAAAUGCUGGUGCUCAACACCAGAGGGCGUGCGGUUACCCUGCACCAGGCCCCACGUAUUCACUACCACGCUGAAGACUCCUAAUCAACUACAUGAGGCACUACGGACUGCCUUCCGUGACACACACAUACCAAUACACACAUAUACAGGUACAUCAGAUACACAUACACACAGGUGCAGACACUGUCACACAUGCAGAUACACACUGACAUACAUGCAGAUACACACAGUGAUACAAUGCAGAUACAAAGACACACACACUGACACACAUACAAAUACGCAGACACACACAUUGACAUACAUGCAGAUACACAAGCACACAGAUACACACAGUGACACCCAUACAGAUACAAACACUGACACACAUAUAGAUACACAUACAGACACACUGAUAGAUAUACAGUCACACAGAUACACAUACAGACAAACAGAUAGAUACAAAGACACACAGAUACACAUAGACAGACACACAUCUAUACAUAUAGACACACGUGCAAAUACACAGGUACAAAAAACACACAGAUACACAUACAUCCAUGCAUGUAGAUACACAAACACACAGAUACAAAAACACACUCACAUGCAGACAUACAGAUACACAUACAGACACCAGAAUAGAUACAAAAACACACAGAUACACAUACAGACACAUAGACUUACAUACUAAUACACAGACACACAUUCAAAAUGUAACCACCCUCCGGUUUCCCACAUUUUGGGUGCAGAAGGGUAGAUACAGUCUGCUAGUUGAGACUGUUGGGAGUCAGAGGCUCUCCCAACAGUCUGUGCACCCUCUUUAUCUUCUCCCUCCCACGUGGCUCGGUGUCAUCUGGGAGGAAAUGACCAGCUUUCACUUCCUUUCAUGCUGCCAUUAUUAAACGGGACCUGUCUUGUUGUUAAAGGGCUGCAGCUCAGGACUGUGCCCAUGAGGAUAAAUUUUCAUUGUGUGGCCCUAAGUGCAUUAACCCCCCCGGUGGGCCCCCCCUCAGUGCAAGGGCCAAGUGCAGUCGCACCGACUGCACCUGUGUUUGUUCUUCUGAUGACAAGCACGAUUUAGCAAAUACAGUACUUUAAGAAACUUAUAGAUGUCACUUACUAUGUCAUGAGCCUCUUUCUCAUCAUGGUCACCCAGUCCUUCAUCUUACGAUCCCCAUUUAAAUUUGUUGAUUUGUCUUUAAAAAUGUUUGGUAAUGGACUGAAACAAUAACCUGUAUUUGUCUUUAAUUGCACAAUAAAGCAGAAUUACUAAUACAUUUACUGAGUCAUCUGAGUGUACUGUAUCAUCAUAUAUACAGUAUAUAUAUAUAUAUAUAUAUAUAUAUAUGUAUACUGUACAUAGCACCGAGGUAAGUAAAGACCAGGAGACCUUGCAUGCCGAGCCCAAGUAACUAUAUAUAUAUAUAAUGGCUGGUAUGGUUUCAUAACACUAGCCGUACAAUGGUUUAACAAGAAAUGCUCAGGAAAUAAAAAAAUCGGAGAAAUGGAGAACAAAAAAGGCAGGAGCAGCAUGUAUCUUUGUUCAGAUGUUUAUUAAUAAAAAGGCAUGGAACUCACAUUACUAUUGUUAUUACAUAGAGCAUGUGAAGGGCUCAUUGGAAUUUGCUCCCCUUAAAGGCAUGGAAUCUUUCUGAGGGAUGCAGACAACAGAACUAGGGACUCACUUCUGUAACUUUAGUUGUGUGUUCUGUGACAUAAGACACUAGUGACUUUCUCUAGAAGCACUUUAAGGACAAUGUACUGACACUGUGCCAAAGUCAGAAUUUUUUAUGGCAAAUUUCAUAAUACAGGAGAAUAAAGAGAUACACUAUAAAGGUUCUAGCCACAUACUUAGCCUCAUACGUUGGAAAUUUGCUAUGUAAAGGAAGCCACUCACCCAGGCCUCUUGGUCAAAACUAUUGUAUUAAUUAACAAAUAUAUAAAUGAAGACCUCCCUUGGUUAAACCCAACCCUUUUCUUGCAGCUGCAGAAAGAUUGAAAUUUCCAGCUCACUCAGCCAUCAUGGUUCCCAGGUAUGUUGCUGAAUAAUUUAAUAUGUAGGAACAGUGAACACAUACGACUUGUGCCAAUUUGGUUAUAAAUGAUGACACUUAAGUAUUUUGUCCCUUGGCAUUUUUACUGAAGUGUGUUUUUGCUCAGCUGGAUUUAUAUUUAUACAUAGCUUGCAAUGAUGAUCAAUGCUUUUUCCUUUUAAGUCAUAUUUAGAAACAUGCCUCAGCAACCAUUUUAUGUGACCUCAUGCAGAAAAACAGUGACAAAAAUAUGAAAUACAUUCAUUGUAACCAUGUCACGA